GACGAACGCUGGCGGCGUGCUUAACACAUGCAAGUCGAACGGAAAGGCCCUGCUUUUGUGGGGUGCUCGAGUGGCGAACGGGUGAGUAACACGUGAGUAACCUGCCCUUGACUUUGGGAUAACUUCAGGAAACUGGGGCUAAUACCGGAUAGGAGCUCCUGCUGCAUGGUGGGCGUUGGAAAGUUUCGGCGGGUGGGGAUGGACUCGCGGCUUAUCAGCUUGUUAGUGGGGUAGUGGCUUACCAAGGCUUUGACGGGUAGCCGGCCUGAGAGGGUGACCGGCCACAAUGGGACUGAGAGACGGAGCAGACUCGUACGGGAGGCAGCAGUGGGGAAUAUGGCACAAUGGGCGGAAGCCUGAUGCAGCAACGCCGGGUGCGGGAUGACGGCCUUCGGGUUGUAAACCGCUUUCGCCUGUGACGAAGCGUGAGUGACGGUAAUGGGUAAAGAAGCACCGGCUAACUACGUG
rnacentral:rRNA from 1 species